rnacentral:rRNA from 1 species
UACGGAAGGCAGCAGUGGGGAAUAUUGCACAAUGGGCGCAAGCCUGAUGCAGCCAUGCCGCGUGUAUGAAGAAGGCCUUCGGGUUGUAAAGUACUUUCAGUCGUGAGGAAGGUGUUAAGGUUAAUAACCUUAGCAAUUGACGUUAGCGACAGAAGAAGCACCGGCUAACUCCGUGCCAGCAGCCGCGGUAAUACGGAGGGUGCGAGCGUUAAUCGGAAUUACUGGGCAUAAAGGGCACGCAGGCGGUUAAUUAAGUUGGAUGUGAAAUCCCCGGGCUUAACCUGGGAAUGGCAUUCAAGACUGGUUAGCUAGAGUCUUGUAGAGGGGGUAGAAUUCCAUGUGUAGCGGUGAAAUGCGUAGAGAUGUGGAGGAAUACCGGUGGCGAAGGCGGCCCCUGGGACAAAGACUGACGCUCAUGUGCGAAAGCGUGGGGAGCAAACGAGGAUUAGGAUACC